UGCUAUCGGGGUCCGAUUAAGCCAUGCGAGUCGAGAGGGGUAAAGCCCUCGGCGAACGGCCCAGUAACACGUGGAUAACCUACCCUCAGAUCUGGGAUAACUCCGGGAAACUGGAGAUAAUACCGGAUAAUCCGUGAACGCUGGAAUGCCUUACGGUUGAAAGCUUUGGCGUCUGAGGAUGGGUCUGCGGCCGAUUAGGUAGUUGCUGGGGUAACGUCCCAACAAGCCGAUAAUCGGUACGGGUUGUGAGAGCAAGAGCCCGGAGAUGGAUUCUGAGACACGAAUCCAGGUCCUACGGGGCGCAGCAGGCGCGAAAACUUUACACUGCGCGAAAGCGCGAUAAGGGGACCUCGAGUGCGUGCGCAAUGCGUACGCUUUUCAGAUGCCUAAAAAGCAUCUGGAAUAAGGGCCGGGCAAGACCGGUGCCAGCCGCCGCGGUAACACCGGCGGCUCAAGUGGUGGCCGCUAUUAUCGGGCUUAAAGGGUCCGUAGCCGGACCAGUUAGUCCCUUGGGAAAUCUUACGGCUUAACCGUAAGGCUGCCAAUGGAUACUGCUGGUCUUGGGACCGGGAGAGGCAAGAGGUACCUCAGGGGUAGGAGUGAAAUCCUGUAAUCCUUGAGGGACCACCAGUGGCGAAAGCGUCUUGCUAGAACGGGUCCGACGGUGAGGGACGAAAGCUAGGGGCACGAACCGGAUUAGAUACCCGGGUAGUCCUAGCCGUAAACGAUGCGAGCUAGUGUCACGUGGAUUGCGAAUCCAUGU
rnacentral:rRNA from 1 species